UGCAAGUCGAACGAUGAACCACCUUCGGGUGGGGAUUAGUGGCGAACGGGUGAGUAACACGUGGGCAAUCUGCCCUGCACUCUGGGACAAGCCCUGGAAACGGGGUCUAAUACCGGAUACUGACCUGCCAAGGCAUCUUGGCGGGUCGAAAGCUCCGGCGGUGCAGGAUGAGCCCGCGGCCUAUCAGCUUGUUGGUGAGGUAAUGGCUCACCAAGGCGACGACGGGUAGCCGGCCUGAGAGGGCGACCGGCCACACUGGGACUGAGACACGGCCCAGACUCCUACGGGAGGCAGCAGUGGGGAAUAUUGCACAAUGGGCGCAAGCCUGAUGCAGCGACGCCGCGUGAGGGAUGACGGCCUUCGGGUUGUAAACCUCUUUCAGCAGGGAAGAAGCGAAAGUGACGGUACCUGCAGAAGAAGCGCCGGCUAACUACGUGCCAGCAGCCGCGGUAAUACGUAGGGCGCAAGCGUUGUCCGGAAUUAUUGGGCGUAAAGAGCUCGUAGGCGGCUUGUCGCGUCGGUUGUGAAAGCCCGGGGCUUAACCCCGGGUCUGCAGUCGAUACGGGCAGGCUAGAGUUCGGUAGGGGAGAUCGGAAUUCCUGGUGUAGCGGUGAAAUGCGCAGAUAUCAGGAGGAACACCGGUGGCGAAGGCGGAUCUCUGGGCCGAUACUGACGCUGAGGAGCGAAAGCGUGGGGAGCGAACAGGAUUAGAUACCCUGGUAGUCCACGCCGUAAACGGUGGGCACUAGGUGUGGGCAACAUUCCACGUUGUCCGUGCCGCAGCUAACGCAUUAAGUG
rnacentral:rRNA from 1 species